rnacentral:rRNA from 1 species
ACGAACGCUGGCGGCGUGCCUAAUACAUGCAAGUAGAACGCACAGUUUAUACCGUAGCUUGCUACACCAUAGACUGUGAGUUGCGAACGGGUGAGUAACGCGUAGGUAACCUGCCUGGUAGCGGGGGAUAACUAUUGGAAACGAUAGCUAAUACCGCAUAAUAUUGAUUAUUGCAUGAUAAUUGAUUGAAAGAUGCUAUUGCAUCACUACCAGAUGGACCUGCGUUGUAUUAGCUAGUAGGUGAGGUAACGGCUCACCUAGGCGACGAUACAUAGCCGACCUGAGAGGGUGAUCGGCCACACUGGGACUGAGACACGGCCCAGACUCCUACGGGAGGCAGCAGUAGGGAAUCUUCGGCAAUGGACGAAAGUCUGACCGAGCAACGCCGCGUGAGUGAAGAAGGUUUUCGGAUCGUAAAGCUCUGUUGUAAGAGAAGAACGGGUGUGAGAGUGGAAAGUUCACACUGUGACGGUAUCUUACCAGAAAGGGACGGCUAACUACGUG